AGAAUUUCCCGGAACAUUUUGUAGAUAUUCAAUAUAAAUAUAAUAUCUCAGUCGAACAAUGACAACAGUCAACAGGGCCCCCGCACCAAAUAUGCCUAAGGGCUCCAUCUUCCUUCAUUACGCCACUGCUGUUUGUGUGAAAUUAUUUAAAUAUAUUCGUUUUAAGUCUUUUGUGCACCCGUUGCACCCAUAGUCUGCACCCGCACUGCACCCAAAAAGUUAUAAAUACAAAAGGCAUGGGGUGCACUUGCAUCCACAGCACCCGUGGUUCCGGCAUCCCUGGAAAUAAUAUCAUCUCACCGUAUCACCGUAAGGUAAAACGCACAAUCACCGCACACCGCGCCUUUUUCAGUCACCGCAACACCGCAAAUUUGGAGCCUUAGUCACCGUAUCACCGCACUAAAAAUAGUCCAACUCCGUAACACCGCAAGUCCCCAUGAC
rnacentral:lncRNA from 1 species